AUGGAGAUGAAGAUUUUUUUUGUUGUUGUCUUCUUAGCUGCCAUAAGCACUGUUCUUGCACAUGAUCACCACCACCAUGACGAGGCCCCAGCCCCCGCCCCAGCCUGGGGCUCAGCCCCAGCUCCAGGACCAAGCAGUGGUGCUGGUUCUCUUGGUUCAGUCCUUGGUGCCUCUCUUUUAUCCUUUGUUGCCUACUACUUGAACUUCCAUGCAUGA